ensembl:lncRNA
AGACUGCCCAACUAGGCUUUGUUAUUCUAUUUUUAAAAUAUUGUUUGAAAUCUUUCUUAAAUCUUCUGGUUUUUUCACAUUAAAAAAAUAAAUUGUACUACUUUUAUAAUGAGAAAAAAAUCACCGUUUUAAAGUAAUGUUUUCCUUUGUACUGUAUCAUAAAAUCUGGUUUUUAUGUCUACUUCAGCUGGAGACCCACACUGUUUCAUGACAUAAUUGUGUCUAAAGGAGAAAUGUCAAGGAUCUAGUUUUCCUCGGGAUUAUAUGAUACAAAGAUCUCCACUCCCUAGGUAGCUAUGAUCUCUUAGUAGCAAAGAUAAUUUCUGCUUGUAGAGUCUUAGGAUUUUAUUGAUCACAUAAUGUCCAUCAACAUCACCAAAGUAUGUGUUCCACUCAAACCUGACUCAGAGAGAAAUUUCACAAAUUAUUAUAGGUUACAGUAUUAAAAUAUCUUAUCCAAUAUCUUCUAAAUAUCUCCAUCACCAUAUAAUUCAUACCCCAUAGUGAACAAAAUGGAAUGGAAAGCGUGUCAUUUCAUUUUAUUGGUAGAAUGAGGUAAAGUCAAAGCUUCCAGUCACUGUAGACUUCUUGACACCUCAGAUAUUACGCUUCUAUACAUGCCAAGUUACCUAAAUUUUACGAUCAGAUUCCUGUAUAGGAAUGCUAUAAAAUGUUGUAGAUUAAGAAAAUGCAAAAUUUAGGAGAUUUUUUAAGCAAUUAACUGAGAAGAAAGAAGAAUAAACAAUUAACUAGACAGGAAUGGUGCAAGCUAAAAAUAACACUGCAUUGGAUACUUCUGGGAAAAUUCACCUUGAAGAAAUCACAGCAGAUAACUGAUUCAGCCACAAAUGAAGGGCCAAGAAAUAGACUUUAAAUACUUUUGACCAUAAGUAAGAAUAUUAUGUCUUUAUGUAAUUAAUAAUACAAGGCAGGAUAUAUCAUUAAAGACUUAUGAGGUGACUCUCAAGGUUUGUUUUUACUGGGGAGGAUUCUGUAGUUGUGUUGAUUCAUUUAAAGUGAAUGAGAGGAUCUUCUGGUUUCCUGUUAGGAUGUAGAAAAUUGUAGAAAGCAUCAUUUUAACCAUGACAACAAGACCAACAAAAUGCCAGAUGGUUGCCAAAUUUAAAACUCAUCUUGAACCCAACAGAAAGCUGAAGUUUCAGGGCAAGAAAAUCUAAGGAAAUAGAGGUUCCUUUAAGGAGAGGUGGGGCCUGAGGGCUUCUUAACUAGGGUAGACAUUUCCAGACACCAGUAAGAAGAAUUCAGCUAAUAUUUUUAACCAAUUACAAAAGACCAAAUAUGGGCUAGAGAGAGAACCCCUGUGAGACAAAGACCUAAAGGGAAUUUGCACCCACCUGCAGGCUAUACCCACAUACCUGACUGGGUGCUCACAAAAGAGGUAGAGGUAGGGCAAGAGUUUUAACAAAGCAUCUCAUAAGGGAAUAGUAAUCACCAAGGGAAAGGAUAUGAAUUCCUCUUUUGGAUCCUUCUCUAUUUUCCCUCUUGAACUAAAGGCUUAAGACAUUGGGGAACAGCAGCAAACUCUGUUGCCCUUAAGGUACUGGUAAAAACUCAUUGUGGCCAAGGAAAGAAAACAGAACAAAACCAUUACUGAUGAGGAGGGGUGGGAAUAUGUGCUGGGGACAGACCUACAGAUCACGGCAUGUUAGCUUAAUUGGUGACUAGAUUGGCUCCAGUGCCCAACUGGUAAAUGCCCAGCAGAAGGAAAGUUGUGCUAAUUUUCCAGACAUAAGAAUUAGUUACAUCAGUCUCUACUUUCCUGUACAAGUUAUCUGACUUUCAACAAAAAUUACGUGUCAUAAAAAAGGAAAAAACCCACAUUGUCAAGAGACAAAUCAAUCACCAGUAGGUUCAGAGAUGGCAACUGUGGGAAAUAUUAGAUAGGGAACUUAACCAUGAUUAAUAUCUUAAAUGAUCUAGUGGAAAAGAUGGACAACAUGCAUGAUCAGAUGGUUAAUUUCAGCAGAGAGAUGGAAACUAUAAGAGUUAAAUGGAAAUGCUAGACAUGAAAAAUACAUAAGAUAUCUAAAAUGCCCUUUAGCUUCAUCAGUAGAUUCAACACAGGCAAGAAAGGAAUCAGUAAACUUAAAGAUAGGUCCAUAGGAAUGACCCAAACUGAAACACAGAGGGGUUUAGGACAGGGAGAGGUAGAAACUAACCUUUGGUUCCCAGUGUCAUGCAGACCCCGUCUUUUUUCCCAUCCCUCAGCAAGGCCUCUAGCUCAUAUCAGUAGCAUUGGUAUGGAUACUCCAUAGCUGAGCUCGAGGCUCCUAACAGUAAACCACUUUGUUAUAUGGAAAAUUGGGUCUCCCCUACCUCUCCCAGCUCAGCCAAUAAAUAAAGCAGUGCAGGUCCAGUUUCCUCUACUGGGGCACUUUUCUCAGCACUUGCACUACCAUUGACUCAAAUACAGCUUACUUCUGUGCACUCUACUUCUUCUAUGCUCAUAAAUUUAUUCUCAAUAAAUACUAUCACUGUUUCCAUUAUGAAUGCAUUAUGGUGUGGGUUACCAUGUACCCUACCUGAUGUUUGGGAUCUACUAUGGGGUCCCUGCCAGUGCCAGUUGAUUUGGUAUUAUGGUUUUUUUAAAUUAUGGAAAGAGGCUAACUGGAAAGGGCUAUAAGACAUCCCCAUGGGAGCAGUGGUAAGGUCACUUGGCUGAGGUUGGAUGGUUGGUGACAGGAUGGUUCCUGAGGGACAUGGCAGAAGGUGGAAGUGCUAUGAGAGGGCUAUGAGGGUAGAUAACAUGGUUCAUGAAUUGAUGCCCUGGUUACUCUGCAUUUGUAAGUAUUUUUGAGCCCUUGGGAGAAGGGAGAAGGGAGAAAACAGGAAAGACUCUCUCACUGCAUCCAGGGCAGCUGGUAGAACCAAUGACUUAUCCUGGAGAUGCCACAGGGAAAGACCCCUACCACUACCUCCAGUGUUGCCAACAGGACAAGACACAUGGCCACUUCAGAGACAGGGGAAGUUAUUCCAGAAGGGAAAGAAGAAUGGCUGGUAUUGCAGCUAUGGAGGCAGUUUGAAACUAAUUUCAUAUAGCACAUUAUACAGGGGACUAAAGGAGGCCAUCACUGGAAAGAGGUACCAGAUUACAUAUGAGAUCUAGCUCCCUACAUGAGUGCUAUCAUCAACAUGCAAAGGGGCCUUUAAAAGCUUAGGAUAUUCUUUUUCAUGAAGAAGGGAUGACAGUUUUAUUGAGUGAAGUUGCAUGAUAAGAGACAGGGUGAAUUAACAUAUGACCCCUGGCUAGAGAAUUAUGUAGGUUUAUUAAAAAUGGUAGGAAAGGCUAUUGCUGUCCAAUUCUUUAUCAAGUACUUGGUGCAUUUGGGAAUACAUACUCUUAUUGAGAAAUAUCCCUGAGGUUAUAAAUAUAAACUGGAUUACCUCACUAAGGUAUUUGCCACUUUGAGACAGUUGCUGUGUUACCAUAGUUAUAUGAGAGCUGGGACACUGAGGGAGAAUUUCUCACAAUACACCCUUGACACAGAGAAUGAAAGUUGAUUUAAUAUGGGCAUGUCCUUCUCAAAUGGACAAUGUCUUUACAUUUUCUUUUUUCACUGGGUGAAACUAAUGUUUCCCUACCUCAAAGGAGAAAAUAAUGAAAAGGGGCCCCAGAAUGUGUCUCAGGUUUCUCUCCAAGAUGAAAAAAAUUGGGGGAGCCAAGAAAGAAAAGACAGAGGAUCUUGUCACAGUUACUGUGGCUGCCUAACAAAUGACUCCUAAACUUAGUGUUUUAAAACAAUGACAACAUUUACUUUGCUUAUAAAUCUACAAUUUGAGCAGGGCUUGGUGGGGAUAAUUUAGUUUCUGCUCCAGCUGGCAUCAGCUGUGAGCACAAAAGGCUGGAAUCAUCUGAAAGCGCUCUCACUCACAUGUCUGGAAGGUGUUGCUCGAACCUCAGCUGGGGCUAUUAGCCAGAAAACUUACAUGUGGUUUCCCUAUGUGGCCUGGGCUGCCUCACAACAUGAUGACUGGGUUUCAAAAGCUCCAAGGGCAAAAGUACAGACUGAGAGCCAGGAUGGGAACUUUAUCAUCUUUUCUAACCUAGCUUUCUAAGUCAUGUAACAUCACUUCGACUGCAUUCUACUAAUUAGAAGCAGGUAUCUAAAACUGAUUUAUAUUCAAAGGGUAGGGAAUUAAACUCCACUUUUUGUGGGAGGAUUCAAAGAAUUUGUGAAUAUGUUUUAAAACUACUACCAUCUGUCCACUGGCCACAAAUUAUCUACAUUCCUUCCAUAUGCAAAAUACACUCAGACCUUCCCAAGCUCCUCCACAGGUUUCAUUUAUUACAGCACCAGACUCAGGUUCACCAUCCAUUUUACUUGGAUCUAGAUGUGGAUGAAGUGUUGCAGGUGUGGUUCCUUGAGUUCAGCUGCUCAUGUACAGCUUCUGUUGAGUUGAACACCUCUGAACUGAAAAGACCAGUUUUCUGCUCCAACUCACCCAACAUAUGUUGGUGGGAGAGACAUAGGACAACGAGUUUUCGACCAACAUGGGAAAAUGGGAGGUGCACAGGAGUCACUGGUCCAUAGCAAUACUGAAAUAUGGCCAACCACAUGUUUCCAGUUCAUCAAUCAAGUCUCAGUCACACUGCCUUGGAGCGAUUCACUUUGCCCUUCCCCUCUGUGCUCUUGUCCUCUUUCCUAUUAGUUAACUAUUGCUACAUAAUAAGUAAUUCCAAAACUUAGUGGUUUAAAACAAUGAUCACCAUUAUCUCUCUUUCUAGGGGUCAGAAAUUCAGGAGCAGCUGGAUGGCUCUGGUUCAAGAUCUCUUGCAAGGCUGCAAUCAGAUAUUGGCCAGGGAUGUAGCCGUCUGUAGGCUUGGAAUCCACUUCUCAGGUGGCUUCCUUGCGUGGUGUUGGUGUAAUGGUUGGGUUUUGGGUAAUGGUUAGAAGCCUCGAUCCUUCUUUAUGUGGGCUUCUUUACAGGAAUUCUUGAAUGCUCUGGCUUCCCCCAGAACAAGCAAUCUAAGAAGGAGUAAGUUGGAAGCCACAAUGACUUUAUGACCUAGCUUUGAAGUCACAUAUUAUCACUUCCACUGAAUUUUGUUUUUAAAGAAGCAAAGAAUCAGUGUAGGAGGGGACUAUACAAGGAUGUAAAUGUCAGGGAGUAUUAGGGGCCAUCCACAAAGAUAUAUGACUAUGAAAUCAUGGAUAGAGGGACCAAAAAAAAUAGAAAUUGAACAGGUGCUCAUCAGCUAAUAAUGGAAGAUAUGUAAGAAGACUGGCAGACCCACGUGAAAGUCAAAGCUGUAUACAGAGACAAUAGGGAAAAGUCAAAUGGCUCAUUGUCUGUAUAAACAGAGAUCCCUGAAUAGUCUUGUAUUAACUGUCCCAGAUAGCAGUUCACAGUGAAAAUGUAUUUUGGUGCUGAAUUUGUCACUCACAAUCUGAUUGAGUUUUGGGUGACUUUGCUGGCAUCCUAUUGUCAGAGAAUGCUGAGGAAAUCACUAUGACUUGCAGAAUCCAGAGUCCCUGUUUUCUCCGCCCUCUUCAGUUCUCUUCCAAUUAUCCAUGCCCAUCAUGUUCAACUCUCAAGUGUGCAGUGAUGCUCUUGUUCUGCCACCUCACUUCCCAGAAGUCUUGGAAACUAUCCCUAAGGGACCUGGUGAUGCUCUUCUCCACACCCCAUCACUACAACCAGGCCUAAUCUAUCCCAUCACUAUUCCCUAAAACCACACAAGUCAUCUUCUCCCAUGGACAAUUGUCAUUGCCAAGUGAAUAUUGAAUGUUAUCCUGACUCUGUAUGUGUACCCUUUGUGUAUCCCAUCUCAGGACAUGUUUUCCUAUGUGGACAUACAGCUGUCCACUGCCCUCUUCUAGAUGUAACACCUCUCUUACUCUGGGAAUAUCUCUACAGUCUUCAUAGUGGCUAAGAACCCUCCAGGACACCUGUCCUUAAGGUCUCUGGAACCAGCACUGGGGCCUCCUUAUGGCAUCUAGGAAACAGAUUUUUACCAGUUUGUGUGAACAUUCUGGACUUGGAUUGGCACUUCUAAGGCCAAGACAUAAUCUUCAACCUACUGGCUACCCUAAAACACAUUUUCCAGAGCCAAUCAGUAUCUCAUCACAUACCUGUUGACUUGGCUUCUGCAGGAACUAGCUGUGCAAUCUUGAUAAAGUCACUUCACCUCUCUGACUCAUUUUUUUCUCAUCUAUAAAA